rnacentral:rRNA from 1 species
GUGGGGAAUAUUGGGCAAUGGGGGAAACCCUGACCCAGCAACGCCGCGUGAAGGAAGAAGGUUUUCGGAUCGUAAACUUCUAUCCUUGGUGAAGAUAAUGACGGUAGCGAAGAAGGAAGCCCCGGCUAACUACGUGCCAGCAGCCGCGGUAAUACGUAGGGGGCAAGCGUUGUCCGGAAUGAUUGGGCGUAAAGGGCGCGUAGGCGGCCUGGUAAGUCUGGAGUGAAAGUCCUGCUUUUAAGGUGGGAAUUGCUUUGGAUACUGUCGGGCUUGAGUGCAGGAGAGGUAAGCGGAAUUCCCGGUGUAGCGGUGAAAUGCGUAGAGAUCGGGAGGAACACCAGUGGCGAAGGCGACUUGCUGGACAUUAACUGACGCUGAGGCGCGAAAGCGUGGGGAGCAAACAGGAUUAGAAACCCCGUAGUCC